rnacentral:rRNA from 1 species
GACGAACGCUGGCGGCGUGCUUAACACAUGCAAGUCGAACGGAAAGGCCCUGCUUUUGUGGGGUGCUCGAGUGGCGAACGGGUGAGUAACACGUGAGUAACCUGCCCUUGACUUUGGGAUAACUUCAGGAAACUGGGGCUAAUACCGGAUAGGAGCUCCCGCUGCAUGGUGGGGGUUGGAAAGUUUGGUGGGUUGGGGAUGGACGCGCGGCUUAUCAGCUUGUUGGUGGGGUAGUGGCUUACCAAGGCUUUGACGGGUGGCGGGCCUGGGAGGGUGACCGGCCACAUUGGGACUGAGAUACGGCCCAGACUCCUACGGGAGGCAGCAGUGGGGAAUAUUGCACAAUGGGCGGAAGCCUGAUGCAGCAACGCCGCGUGCGGGAUGACGGCCUUCGGGUUGUAAACCGCUUUCGCCUGGGACGAAGCGUGAGUGACGGUAAUGGGUAAAGAAGCACCGGCUAACUACGUGCCAGCCGCCGCCGUAACAC